rnacentral:tRNA from 1 species
GUCUCCAUAGUUUAACGGAUAAAACACAGGCCUCCGAAGCCUGUAAUUGAGGUUCAAUUCCUCAUGGAGACA